rfam:Onchocerca ochengi, WGS project CAWC01000000 data, contig: 05391_7504
UCCUCGGUAGUAUAGUGGUGAGUAUCCGCGCCUGUCACGUGCGAGACCCGGGUUCGAUUCCCGGUCGGGGAG